AUAUGCGCGUGAUCUGUGAGUCCAUUGAUUGCUAGUGUUGAUUUGGCUGGCUAAGCAGGUGUCCCCUUCUUCCCUCACUGCUCCAUGUGUGUUCCUCCCAAAGCUGUGUGCUCUGUGGAAGAGGACAACCAUCCCAGAUUGAAGGAGUACUGUUCUUCCAUCAAGGGUAUAUAUGAUAACUGUCCUGUCCUCUUAGAACAUUCAAACAAAUUCAGAGUCAAUUUGUAGGAGAACAUAGAGUGUAUGUCUACACUGUGCCACAAUUUAAGAAGUGUAUUGGUUUUGCACAAAACCCAUUGUUACUAUCUU
rfam:Anolis carolinensis unplaced genomic scaffold chrTn0489, whole genome shotgun sequence.